rnacentral:piRNA from 1 species
UCCUAUGGGUUUAGUUCUUUAAACAG